UGCGUAGGCGGCCGCUUAAGUAGGGUGUGAAAUGUCCCGGCUCAACCGGGGAAUGGCGCUCUAAACUGGGUGGCUCGAGUGAGAUAGAGGUGUGCGGAACUUCCGGUGGAGCGGUGAAAUGUGUUGAUAUCGGAGGGAACACCAUUGGCGAAAGCGGCACACUGGGUCUUAACUGACGCUGAGGCACGAAAGCCAGGGAGCAAACG
rnacentral:rRNA from 1 species